GCGGGCGUGGCGGAAUUGGUAGACGCGCCAGAUUUAGGUUCUGGUAUCUUAGGGUGUGGGGGUUCGAGUCCCUUCGCCCGCACCA
rnacentral:tRNA from 6 species